UACGAAGGGUGCAAACGUUGCUCGGAAUUAUGGGCGUAAAGGGCGCGUAGGCGGCUCUGUUAGUCAGGCGUGAAAGCCCUGGGCUCAACCUGGGGACUGCGCUUGAUACGGCGGGGCUUGAGGGCAGGAGAGGCUCGCGGAAUUCCCAGUGUAGAGGUGAAAUUCGUAGAUAUUGGGAAGAACACCCGUGGCGAAGGCGGCUCUCUGGAACGCAACUGACGCUGAGACGCGAAAGCGUGGGGAGCAAACAGG
rnacentral:rRNA from 1 species